ensembl:miRNA MIR20A microRNA 20a
UAAAGUGCUUAUAGUGCAGGUAGUUCUAUGGCCAUCUACUGCAGUGUGAGCACUUGAUGU